AUUGAACGCUGGCGGCAUGCUUUACACAUGCAAGUCGAACGGUAACAGGGAGCUUGCUCCGCUGACGAGUGGCGAACGGGUGAGUAAUAUAUCGGAACGUACCCACGAGUGGGGGAUAACGUAGCGAAAGUUACGCUAAUACCGAAUACGAUCUACGGAUGAAAGUGGGGGAUCGCAAGACCUCAUGCUGCUGGAACGGCCGAUAUCUGAUUAGCUAGUUGGUGAGGUAAAGGGUCACCAAGGCGACGAUCAGUAGCUGGUGUGAGAGGACGGCCAGCCACACUGGAACUGAGACACGGUCCAGACUCCUACGGGAGGCAGCAGUGGGGAAUUUUGGACAAUGGGCGCAAGCCUGAUCCAGCAAUGCCGCGUGAGUGAAGAAGGCCUUCGGGUUGUAAAGCUCUUUUGUCAGGGAAGAAACGGGAGUGGCUAAUAUCCAUUCCUAAUGACGAUACCUGAAGAAUAGGCACCGGCUAACUACGUGCCAGCAGCCGCCGUAA
rnacentral:rRNA from 1 species